GACCCGGUGGCCUAAGUGGUUAGAGCGUCCGCCUCGGAUACGGGAGGUCGCGUGUUCGAACCCUGAUCAAGUCA